rnacentral:rRNA from 14 species
GCCUAGGGUGUAACCACCCUGAGAACACCCCAUCUAGCCUGAUUCGUGGAAGCCAAGCAGUGUCAGGCUCAGUUAGUACUUGGAUAGGAGACUGCCUGUGAAUCCUGGGUACUGCAGGCU